GCGCUCGUAGCUCAGUGGAUAGAGCGGGUCCCUACUAAGUUCCUGGUCGGCGGUUCGAAUCCGUCCGAGCGCGCCA
rnacentral:tRNA from 1 species